CUUCUGCCACCUAAGAGAUUAGGCGUUCUCCUUCGGGGACAGAAUGACAGGUGGUGCAUGGUUGUCGUCAGCUCGUGUCGUGAGAUGUUGGGUUAAGUCCCGCAACGAGCGCAACCCUUAUUACUAGUUGCCAGCAUUCAGUUGGGCACUCUAGUGAGACUGCCGGUGACAAACCGGAGGAAGGUGGGGACGACGUCAAAUCAUCAUGCCCCUUAUGACCUGGGCUACACACGUGCUACAAUGGAUGGUACAACGAGUCGCGAAACCGCGAGGUUUAGCUAAUCUCUUAAAACCAUUCUCAGUUCGGACUGUAGGCUGCAACUCGCCUACACGAAGUCGGAAUCGCUAGUAAUCGCGGAUCAGCAUGCCGCGGUGAAUACGUUCCCGGGUCUUGUACACACCGC
rnacentral:rRNA from 1 species